GGCGGAACCGCUGUGUGUAACCAAUAAAUUAUUUGACACGUCCCCGGCGGAGCCGAGGCUCCCGAGGCUGCAGCGCGUUUCUUCCGCAUCGAACCCGGGGCGAGGCCCCUGCGGGCGGGCGGCAGGGCGGUCCCUCGCGGUCCCUGUCCCCGUCCAGCCUUCGCCUCGUGCGGGUCGGGCACGGCGGCGGCGGAGCGCGAUGGAUUCCGGUUCCCGUUGUCGCUCGCCCCAGUGCGGGGCUGCGGCAGCGGCAGCUCCCGGAGCGAGGAGACAGCGAGCCCGGCGCGCACGGGACGGAGCCGCCGCGAGCGCCGCGGGAGCAGGAGCGCGAGGCGGAGCCCACGGGGCCCGGCGGCGCAGCAGGAACCAGAGCAGUCACUUCUAAAGGCCUUCGGGACGACCCACAGCUGAAACCCGCUCAGCAAACUCGCCCUGGGGACUGCGAUGUGGCGCGCUGACAGCAGAGACCACAGCGUCUACACAGACCCGACCAUGCCGUCAGAACACAGAUUCGGCAAGUGGACACCAAAUCACUUGCAAUGGUAGUGAUUUAUACAAAAAAGAAAGAUCGAUCUGAUGCCUUUCCCCAGUCCAGGAACUCUGUAGUGUUCUAAAGUAAAUCAAUAAAACAUACAUUUGUGUUUCAUCAA